CCCGACGGAGGCUCGGCG
rnacentral:miRNA from 1 species